UUGCUCUCCCUCUCUUUUCUUCCCUCGAAUCUAUCAGCAGCACAUAUACUAAAAUUGCAAUGAUACAGAGAAGAUUAGCAUGACCCCUGAACA
rnacentral:snRNA from 1 species